rnacentral:misc_RNA from 1 species
UUCUAGCCCUGAUGGAAGCGGCAUCCUCUUGAGGAAGCGAUAGCGGACGCAAGAGAUAGA